rnacentral:lncRNA from 10 species
CUCUGGUGGCCUCUGGUCUCUCUGUCUCUGUGAGUUUGCCUGUACUUCAUGGAAAUGAGAUGAAGAGGUAAAAAAGCGAAGUAUGUACCCAAGAUUACAGCUAAACUAGGACUUGAACCCAUGUCUGUCUGAAGUCCGAGCUGAAACUUUGGCCACUAAAUUGCCCUGUCUCACUACAGGGGAAGAAGCUGAGACCCAAAGGGGCAACUUGAGCCACCUGAGGUCACUCUGUGGAUAAGCAACAGCUCUCAGAGGUUUGCGUGAGACAGGCCGGAACUACUUCUCUCUGCCCUCCCAGGAUCUUUGCAUGACAUGAUAUGAAACCAAGAUUCUCAACAACCAAGAUUCUUCUGUGGGGCCCAGCAGAAGUAUCUGAGGAAUCUUUUCAAAAAUCUGCAUGAACUUGCUAAGGCUGCCAUUAACAAGUUCCACUUUUCUGGGUGGCUUAAACAACAGAAAUGUAUUUCCACACAGUCGUGGAGGCUGGAAGUCCAAGGUCCAGGCAUCCACAGGUUUGGUCUCUUCUGAGGCCUCUCUCUGUAGCUUGUAGAUGGCCGCCUUCUCCUUGUGUCUUCCCACAGUUAUCCCUCUUUCUGUAUCUGUGUCCUGAUCUCUUCUUAUAAGGACACCAGUCAUAUUGGAUUGGUGGACUCAUUUUUAACUUAAUUACCCUUUUACAAAUUCGAUCUCUAAAUACAGCCACAUUCUGAGGUACUGGGAGGACUUGUUCUAUUUGAAUUUUUUUUUUUUUUUUUUUUUUUUUUUUGUGGAGGGACACAAUUUGCUCAUAAUAAUGUGUCCCCUGGCCCUUCAAAACUCAUGUCCUUUCUGCGUGCAAAAUACACUGACUCCAUUUCAACGUGUUCAAAAGUGUUAACUGAUUCCAGCAUCAACUCUAAGUCCAAAAGCUCACCUAAAUAGCAUCUAAAUCAGAUGUGGGUGAAACUCAAGGUAUGAUUUAUUCAGAGGCAAAAUUCCUCUUCAGCUGUAAACUUAUAGAACCAGACAAGUUCUCUGCUUUCAAAAUACAAUGGUGGGGCAGGCAUAGCAUAGAUAUCCUAUGGGAGAAAUCAGAAAGAAGACAGGAGCCACAGGUCCCAAGCAAAUUCCAUUAGAUCUUAAGGCUCAAGAAUAACCCUCUUUGACUUCAUAAUCUAUGGACCACCUGGUCCCUCCCUAGCAGCUUCUGUGGUGGUUUCUCGUCAUCUCCCACCAUUGUCCCAGCAAAUAAAUACUAUGACCCAACAACUCACCAUGUGCCAGAAACAUUUCCUGUAUGUCAGUCAACUCAUUACAUUCUCACCAGGGCCCUAAGAAAGAAGCCCAGUGAUCAAUUCCAUUUGACCAAGGAAGAAAGUAAGACAUAGAGAGGUCAAGUUCUUCGGCCAGGGCCACGUAGCUUAUUAAUGGAGUUGCUGGGACUUGAACCCAGCCAGUCUGACCCCAGGGCCUUUUCUUAUACCGAGACCUUGGCAUUCCAGGUGAGGCUCCUGCUCACCAGUGUUAGACAAUCUCUGACCUGUUGUGUCAGCUCCAAGUGUUUACUGGUGUAAAUGUUUCUUCUCCUCAUCCCCAGAAGGAGUUAAAUGAGACAGAAGUCCUCCUCGUAAUCCUCUCGGUGCUCCUGUAGCUGGGACAAUGUGUGAUGCACAGAACACUUAUAAGUGUCUGUUAGUGAUGAGUGAAUUGGGGGAGGCUGUGGUCCUUCCCUGAAAAGGUGAACCAAUUAAAACUCAAAAUCACCUUAGCAAGAUACCAAAGAGCAGAAUUUCAGUGGUCCCAGCCCCUCUGGAAGCCCCUGGAAGCUUAUUUUCAUUCUGAAUAGACCUCCUUUGCUUUGCCUCACAGAGAGUGCUUCCAUUCAACCAGUAAUUAGUGUCUCUAAGUGGAAUCUACUUAAGAAAGGACACAAAGCCUGAGAAAGUUGUAUUAUGCCAUUUAUAAAUGUCCGGUGAUCUGCUGCUGCACUGUGAUUCACGGAGCUGAAAUAAAUGAUUUGCUUCAAAAAAAAAUUAUGAACGUUCAUUCCGCUGGUAGAAUCUCUUAAUUCCCGUUACACAUGUCAGCAUAUUAUGACUGGAAGCUGUCAGGUUCUAAUGACUAAAAUUUCAUUUUUCAGACUUCUCACACUGUGUGUGAGGACUAUAAGUUAGAAAUAUCUCUGCAGCUAAGUUUCUUCCUCAUCUGGUAAAUUUAGCUCUUUCUUUCUUUUCUAUUUAUUUUUUAAGUGUCCAUGUUUACAUGAAUACCUUGAGUAAACUAAUCUCAUGCUUCAUUCAAUAAACGAGGAGGUCUACUACUAUGGUGCUUUUCUUCCCAAAGCUGCUGUCCUUUUUAUGGGACAUAAUGUGUCUUGACAGCUGACAGAUUCAAUGCAAAAUUAUUUUUACUUGGCAGAGUGGAUCAAAAUAUGGAUUAUUUUAAAGAACAUUAGCACUUUUUUGUUUAAAGUAAAAUAUAUUGUUUAUGCUUUGUAUGGAUAAACAACCUUGACAUUGGCUGUAACUUGUUUUAUUAUCCUUGAAAUGGAAAUUUGUUGACACGAUAUUCAAUAAAUAGAAAUACUUCGGUCCUGUUCACUUAACUCGCAUACUAUACUAAAUAGGAAUUAUUGAUCCUCCAGUUAUUACACUUGUUCCUGAAAUGCUCUGUGGAGGGCAGGAAAACCAACUUCCAAUUCAGGUUGUUAAUAGAUUGGUCGCAAAAUUUAUGUUAUCCAUGUCCAACAAAUCACUAAUAAAAGCUUAUAAGAGGCUAGAUCAUCUGCAUUGAAUUACUCAUUCUUCCCCCCAUAAAAAGCCUUUAGCUAGAGACUGACCAAAGAAUUUAAAAUCUCUCAUUAUCUAUAAGUCAUUGCUCAAAGUGUCCCUAAAUGGGAUUAAAGCAUCGCUGCUCAGAUUUCCUACAAUGACUGCCCUCUUCUACUUCCACCUUGACUUAAAUUAAAGGCUAAUGAUAUGUUUCCAGAGGAAAGAAAGAGAUAGCUUUUCCUUGAACGACUUUCCAGGACUCCAGCAUCUAAUCUGUUACGGAAUAGCUGCUAUGCCAUGGUGGCCGACUGCAUCUGUUUUUCUGGGAAUAUGGUCCAGGUCUAAGUGGGUCUGGUGACCACGUUGUCAUCUCCAUACAGCUGGUCAACUCAGUGCAGGAGGAAACGGGACGUAAGCACCGUGCACCAUCCAGGGGCUGUUCUCUACCUUUGUUUACUGCCACUGCAAGGAUGUGUGCUUCAGGUGCUGCUUUGAAUACUCAGGGGCAGUCAAUGCAAAUGUUCCCUCCACUCAGUCUCCUUCCCUCCCACCCUCCUUUCUUUUUCUUUUUUUCUUUCUUUCUAUCCAUAAGCAUUUAUGGAGCACCAACCAUGCACCAAACUCAGUACCAGGCACUGGGACCCCCAGACGGAUCGGGCUUCCUGGUGCUCAAGCAGGUCUUGGUCUCCUGGGGGCUCAGACCAGCCCAUGUACUCAGACAUUUGUGUGGCAUGACAGUGUGGGUGGUGGCAGGAUGCCCAGUGGGAAAGGCCCAGGCCAGGCAUGCUGCUGGCCUGCCUAGUGACUCCUGUCUUUACCCAUAAGCACCUGGAGCCUGCUGAGGAUUAACUGUGAAUGAGUGACCAUCACACUGUAGGCCCUCAAUAACGGAUCAGUGUUAUUAUAAGGCUGUCCUAGAGGUGCGUACCAGGGGCUAUGACUUCUUUACAUGAGGCAGCCAGGAAAAUUUCACAGAUGAAUGAGAAAGCCAAUCAGAAGCAGGAGAAAACUGGGCUAUAGAAGACCCUGGUUUGACUAUAUUUCAUGGGGAUAGAAUGAAUUGAAAUGAAGUGAAAUAGAAAUAAAAACAAAACCAUUUGAGUAGGAGUGAGAAAGCAGUUGCAAAUACCCCUAGUGUCGAGGCAGGUAUUGCACGUGAACAUUGCAGACAGGCCACGAGGGGAAGCGAUGCAACCUCAAAGGCUAGAAGGUUCUUACCCAUGGUUGCCAGAUUUGAUUCCUUCAAAAGAAGCCCCACAUCUGGCUUAGGAUGCCAGAUCUCCAAAUGUUUAAGGGAAGAAAUCUAUUUAAAACCUUUUAAAGACACCAUGCAUGAUACACCAAAUGUAUCUUCAGGUCACAUAAAGAUUGUGGCCAAGCUAAUGUCUGCCUCUUGUCUGGACAUACCGAUUUUAUUCUUUCAUUCAAAAACGACUUGCUGGUACUUAUCAUAACAAGUCAGUAGAAACAGUAUUAGUAUUCAUACCAAAGAAGGCGGUAUUUGAAUCUGAGCUCCAGUACCUAAUUAGCUGUCUGACUUUGGGUCUGUUACUCAGCCUCAACUAUAAAAUGAUGGUUUUCAUACCUGCCUUACAUGUUGUUAAGAAGAUUCAAC